rnacentral:rRNA from 1 species
GGGCAGCAGCAAGGAAUAUUGCGCAAUGGACGAAAGUCUGACGCAGCGACGCCGCGUGGGGGAAGAAGGCUCUCGGGUCGUAAACCCCUUUUCUCAGGGACGAAUAAUGACGGUACCUGGGGAAUAAGCCUCGGCCAACUACGUGCCAGCAGCCGCGGUAAUACGUAGGAGGCGAGCGUUAUCCGGAUUUAUUGGGCGUAAAGAGGGCGCAGGCGGCUUGAUAAGUCGAAUGUAAAAUCUCCUGGCUUAACUAGGAGGGACCGUUCGAUACUGCCAGGCUAGAGUGCAUCAGACGGAGAUGGAAUUCCCGGUGUAGUGGUGAAAUGCGUAGAUAUCGGGAGGAACACCAGUGGCGAAGGCGGUCUCCGAGGAUGUUACUGACGCUGAGGCCCGAAAGCGUGGGGAGCGAACAGGAUUAGAUACCCCAGUAGUC